rnacentral:lncRNA from 1 species
AUAACAUGUCCAAAAAGACCUUACAUUUCCAUAGUUUCUAUCUGCAAAUAACACAUCGGGGAGGAAAAACAAAAGCAUAACCGUAUAGGUAGGUGGCGUACUACACCAACAAAGAAACACUUGCUGAAGAGGGCAUGACCAUUGGUAUGAAGAGGGGGGGAAGAUAGAGUGAAGGAAACGAGCAAAAUCGAAUAAGAACAAAUAAUGCAGUACUGCAAUCUAGCAUCUUUGUUAUAGGGCAAAAGGAAAAGAGAAAUGCUGCAGUAAUGAGGCUCAGUCAUAGGUAUAAUAACAACAUCCAACAAAAAGGGCAUAAUAAACAUCUUGAUUAAAUGGUGAACAUAUAUCUGAAUAAGAAAACACUACAAAAUCAGCAACCAAAGGAGUAGUCAACUUGAAUCUGAAUAUGGAAGCAAUGGUAUAGCCACAUUUGGAAAUUACAAUGCAAAAGUCAAAAAUAGUAAAAAAACAAGUUAGGAGC